GGCUAGUUCAAUUGGCAGAGCAUUGGGACGGUACCCCACAGUCCCGGGUUCAAGUCCCGGCGGACGCUA